GUGUAAAUCCCUUUUCGACCGGGAAGAAUACCUCGCAAGAGGGGUGACGGUACAGGUAUAAGAAGCCCCGGCUAACUACGUGCCAGCAGCCGCGGUAAGACGUGGGGGGCCAGCGUUGCUCGGAAUUACUGGGUGUAAAGGGUUCGUAGGCGGUGUGGCAAGUCGGGAGUGAAAUCUCUGGGCUUAACCCAGGGGCUGCUUCCGAAACUGCCGUGCUAGAGUGUGGGAGAGGCGCGUGGAAUUGCAGGUGUAGCGGUGAAAUGCGUAGAUAUCUGCAGGAACACCCGUGGCGAAAGCGGCGCGCUGGACCACUACUGACGCUGAGGAACGAAAGCUAGGGGAGCAAACAGGAUUAGAUACCCUGGUAGUCCUAGCCCUAAACGAUCAGGACUUGGGGUGCCACCCGUUCGGGUGUCGUCCCGGAGCUAACGCGUUAAGUCCUGCACCUGGGGAGUACGGUCGCAAGACUGAAACUCAAAGGAAUUGACG
rnacentral:rRNA from 1 species